GUGCUCGCGUAGGCAGCACAUAUACUAAAAUUGGAACGACACAGAGAUUAGCAUGGCCCCUGUGCAGUGCAAGGAUGACAUGCAAAUUCGUGAAGUGUUCCAUAUUUAU
ensembl:snRNA U6 U6 spliceosomal RNA